rnacentral:rRNA from 1 species
UACGUAGGGGGCAAGCGUUGUCCGGAAUCAUUGGGCGUAAAGAGCGUGUAGGCGGCCUGGUAAGUCCGCUGUGAAAGUCCAGGGCUCAACCCUGGAAAGCCGGUGGAAACUGUCAAGCUUGAGUCCGGAAGAGGCGAGUGGAAUUCCUGGUGUAGCGGUGAAAUGCGCAGAUAUCAGGAGGAACACCAAUGGCGAAGGCAGCUCGCUGGGACGGUACUGACGCUGAGACGCGAAAGCGUGGGGAGCAAACAGG